rnacentral:rRNA from 1 species
AUGAAUGCGUCGGCUGCGGCCAUGCCCCCUCUCCAAACGGCGGCGAUGACGGAGGGAGCAGCUCACGCUGGCCAGGCUCCCGACCGAACGCGUCGAGUCAUCUCUCCUCGGGGCCAACCCCUCCUAUUCAUCGCAUCUCUCCCUGACUCCGUCUCCUCCACGAGAUGUAGCACCACCCCACGCCAUGGACGCCCUUGCCGGCUGCAUCUCUCCAUGCGCCGCCACUCCUAUGACACCGCCGCCCGGCAGUCUCCACCAGCACCAUGA